GAAAAUCUGCAGGGGAAACGGACAAAUCAGAACAAAGCUAAAAUACCUGAAACAAACUCAACUGGGGAAGAAUGAACUUCAACACAAGAGUACCAGAAAUAUAUUAUCUAUUACCAGUUACUGGGUAGGAAGAUAAUGUACUCUGACAGAGAGACAUCCGUUACCGAUUAGGGUAAACAUAUCAAGGAUGACUCGUUGAGAAACAGGAGGUGUAUUCGUUACCGGUUACUGGGUAAGAAUGACCAAUUGGGGAAAAUAG
rnacentral:lncRNA from 1 species